GCUAUCUUAGUUUAUUAAAAACUUUAUAUUGUGGUUAUAAGGAAAGGAUUUUGUGUCUUAGGUAGUA
rnacentral:tRNA from 1 species